rfam:Kaistia sp. SCN 65-12 ABS35_C0690, whole genome shotgun sequence.
AGUCAAGAGUCUUGGCGCCAUUUUGGUGAGCGGAUUUCCUUUGCCUGAAGAAAGGUGAGAGAAAAAUG